CAAUACACAGGACGAGCAGCGAGCUCAUCAGGGCGCUCACGAGGUGGAUGAAGUCACUGACUCAUCAUCGUCAUCAUCAUCGUCAUCUUCGUCAUGGUCAUCGUCGUCGUCGUCAUCCUCAGCAUCAUCAAUUACAGAGCAGCUCAGACUGCUCAGUCUGGCCUCGCGCAGCCGGGGAACGUCCCUCACACCAACAUGUGGGAAUGUUCAUUGCAUCACCGAAAAGGAAUCUGGAAUGAUGUUACGCUCUCUGUUGGGGAAGCACUUGCCCAGAUUCAGAUGCAAGAGAGUCCCUUGGAAAACAGAGACGGUUCGAAGUCCGGGCUUGUUUAUUGUCAGCAAGACGAGGACAAACUGUGCGGGGAACAGAUCCUCAGUGUUUGUUUAAUAACCCCCACUAUGUCCCAGCAUCGCAAUAGUGAUGGAACAAACAGUGAAGUUGCAUCGGAAAUAAUGAAAGUACUCUUCUUACAGUAAAUUCAGUAUAUGAAGAAUGACAAUUUAAUGUUCUGGUACCUUAUUUGGUCAUUUCUUCGUUUUUGGAAUGGUAUCAACAAUACGUUGUCAAGGUGUAACCAUUACAUGCUUUUACACACAAAUGUUAUUUGUGUAAAACUCUUUCAUUGUUUUUAGUCUCCAGGUCCACUGUGGGGGCGUUCGUAGUGAUUUGAUGCAUCACAGAUGUUUUUGUGUGUGUAUAUAUAUAUAUAUAGAAUUUAUAUGUUUAGAUGGACGAUGCAUCUCAUCUUCCUACCGUUCUACAGAUGUGAACCGUGUCUACUGUCUACCGAAAACAACAGAAACCACCUUCGAGAAAAGUAUUUAUUAAGUCCCAUCUGCUAACAUGCAGGGGGUAGGGUUUAUGACCUAUACUGCGGCCAACCACCAGGGGGCGAUCAAGAUGUUUUGGCUUCACUUUUGUAACAAGCUGUCAUGUCUUCCAUCAGAGUUUAUCGCCACUAGUAACGCUACAGAGGUGUGUUUUUUUUAAAGCAUGAUGCAACACCCCGUAUGACACUAUUCAACUGGAGCCUUUUCAUUUAUUGUUAUCGGAAAACUUUUAUAACUUGAUUCAAUAUUGGUGAUACAUCUUGUCUUAAAGGGGCAGUAAGUGAUUUUGGAGAAAGCUUGUUUCUCUCUUUGUUGUUGUUGCGAUUUCACUGCUCGGACAGGGCCGUUAACCCACGACCUCCGGUACGGGAGACCGACACACUAACCACUAGGCCAAAACCGCAGAGUCGCAGUGCCUGCUGCCAGCACGUCUUAAUGUGUAGACAAGUGAUGUUUACUGCACUCUCAGUCUUGUGUCGCACCCUUUUUUGGUUUUCAAAGGACGGUGAGGAAAUAUUCGCUGAUAUUUUACAAAACCUGUAUUGCUUUAAAAGCGUUUACUGCCACUUUAACAUGUAUGUGUUUUAUUUGUUGUGACCUGAUAUAAUUUGAAUACGUAUUUUUUUUGUUUUUGUUUCUAUCAAGCACUCUGUAAUAUCUGGUUGUCAUGCUUCUUGUGCGACAUAAAGUACUGUUCAAAGAAA